rnacentral:rRNA from 1 species
AACGUAGGUUCCGAGCGUUAUCCGGAUUUACUGGGCGUAAAGCGCGUUCAGGCGGUUCGGCAAGUCGGGCAUGAAAUCUCUCGGCUCAACCGGGAGAGGUUGUCCGAUACUGUUGGACUUGAGGGCAGUAGAGGGUGGUGGAAUUCCGGGUGUAGUGGUGAAAUGCGUAGAUAUCCGGAGGAACACCUGUGGCGAAGGCGGCCGUCUGGGCCGACCCUGACGCUGAGGCGCGAAGGCGUGGGGAGCGAACGGG